rnacentral:rRNA from 1 species
GACGAACGCUGGCGGCGUGCUUAACACAUGCAAGUCGAACGGAAAGGCCCCUUUGGGGGUACUCGAGUGGCGACCGGGGGAGUAACACGUGGGUAACCUGCCCUUGCCUUCGUGAUAACUUCAGGAAACUGGGGCUAAUACCGGAUAGGAAUCCUUGCUGCAAGGGGGGGGAUGGAAAGCUUUGUGGGCCUUGGGUGGAUUGGCGGCUUAACGGCUUGUUGGUGGGGUAGUGGGUUACCAACGCGUUGAGGGGUAGCCGGACUGUGGGGGCGAGCGGCCGCCUUGGGACCUAGAGACGGCACAGGUGCCGACGGGAGGCAGCAGGGGGGAAUAUUGCACCAUCGGCGGAAGCCUGAUGCAGCAACGCCGCGUGCGGUAUGACGGCCUUCUGGUUGUAAAACGCUUUCAGCAGGGGCGAAGCUUGUGGUGACGGUACCUGCAGAAGAAGCACCGGCUAACUACGUG